GGUGCUAUAGUGUAGUGGUUAUCACUUGGGAUUUUGACUUUGAACGGUGAAAUUCUUCCCAAGACCCAGGUUCGACCCCUGGUAGCACCU
rnacentral:tRNA from 1 species